GACGAACGCUGGCGGCGUGCCUAAUACACGCAAGUAGGACGCAGUUGCGAACGGGUGAGUAACGCGUAGGUAACUACCUAUGAGAGGGGGAUAACUAUAGCAAACGAUACCUAAUACUGCCUACUAGUAGAUGGACCUGCGUUUUAUUAGCUAGUAGGUAGGGCAAAGGCCGACCUAGGCAACGAUACAUAGCCUACCUUGAAGGGUGAUCGGCCACACUGGGACUGAGACACGGCCCGGACUCCUGCGGGAAGCAGCAGUAGGGAUUCUUCGGGAAUGUGGGGAACCCUGACCGGGCAACGCCGCGUGAGUGAAGAAGGUUUUCGGAUCGUAAAGCUCUGUUGUUAAGGAAGCGGUACUUAACCAGAACGGGACGGCUAGCUACGUGCCAGCAGCCGCGGUAAUAC
rnacentral:rRNA from 1 species